rnacentral:rRNA from 1 species
UACGGAGGGUGCAAGCGUUAUCCGGAUUCACUGGGUUUAAAGGGCGCGUAGGCGGGUUCGCAAGUCUGUGGUGAAAGCCUCCAGCUUAACUGGAGAAGUGCCAUGGAUACUGCGCAUCUUGAGGAGGGUAGGGGCGUCUGGAACGGUCGGUGGAGCGGUGAAAUGCGUUGAUAUCGACCGGAACUCCGGUGGCGAAGGCGAGGCGCUGGACCCUUUCUGACGCUGAGGCGCGAAAGCCAGGGGAGCAAACGGG